AUGGAACCGAGGAGACCGACCAAGCCGGCCGCAGAGGAGGAGGGGCCGAUGGAGGCCUGUGAGGUCACCCGCCUGCAAGAGGAGCUCUUGUGGGCAGCGCUGUCCAGCACGUCACCUCGCGACGCCUGCCGUGCCGCAGCGGUCUCCCCGGCCUUCCGUGUGGCGGCCGACUCGGACGCUCUCUGGGCCUGCUUUCUGCCCUGCGGUCGUGACCUUCCGCCGCUCGCUGACGGAGAGUCGACGCCAUGCAGGAAGAAGGACCUGUUCCUCCGCCUCUCCGGCAGCCCCGUCCUCCUCCCAUGCGGACUCGUGAGCAUGUGGCUGGACAGGGAGACCGGCGCCAGGUGCUACAUGGUGCCGGCGAGGGAGCUGUCCAUCGGAUGA
rnacentral:rRNA from 1 species